CAUGCAGAUGUACUUAGAGCAAAUGAAAAGUGAAAUUGUGAUGUGGCUCUUCGCUGUACUUAUAGUCCCAAAUUCUAGUAGUAAGGUCAAGAUUGUUGGAUUCGAACCUUGGACAUAUUAAAGCGGACUUCCAGAAUUUUGUGUUGUAAAUGUAUUUGUGACAUGCAACUUUAUUAAUAAUGGUGUCUUUCACUAGAUUGAGACACGUGACUUUAAUCUUAGCCAUUGAUUGCUGCUUCUAGAUGGUUCCUAGACCUUAUCUUUUGGGUGCCGUUUCACUUGGCAAUUGGUUGAUUCAUUUUCAUCUGAUUGUUGGUUUUUGAGGAG
rnacentral:lncRNA from 1 species